rnacentral:rRNA from 1 species
GAUGAACGCUGGCGGCGUGCCUAAUACAUGCAAGUCGAGCGAACGGACGAGAAGCUUGCUUCUCUGAUGUUAGCGGCGGACGGGUGAGUAACACGUGGAUAACCUACCUAUAAGACUGGGAUAACUUCGGGAAACCGGAGCUAAUACCGGAUAAUAUUUUGAACCGCAUGGUUCAAAAGUGAAAGACGGUCUUGCUGUCACUUAUAGAUGGAUCCGCGCUGCAUUAGCUAGUUGGUAAGGUAACGGAUUACCAAGGCAACGAUGCAUAGCCGACCUGAGAGGGUGAGCGGCCACACUGGAACUGGGAACCGGUCCAGACUCCUACGGGAGGCAGCAGUAGGGCAUCUUCCGCAAUGGGCGAAAGACUGACGGAGCAACGCCGCGUGAGGGAGGAAGGUCUUCGGAUCGUAAAACUCUGUUAUUAGGGAAGAACAUAUGUGUAAGUAAAAGUGCACAUCUUGACGGUAACUAAUCAGAAAGCCACCGCUAAACAAGUGG